rnacentral:rRNA from 1 species
UAGAGCUAAUACAUGCAACCAAGCUCCGACCUUCGUGGGAAGAGCGCUCUUAUUAGACCGAGGCCAACCUGCUGGGCAACUGGCAGUUUGCUGUGGUGACUCUGAAUAAGCACAGUUGAUCGCACGACUCUACGUCGGCGACGUAUCUUUCAAGCGUAUGCCCUAUCAGCUGUCGACGGUAGGGUAGUGGCCUACCGUGGCAUCAACGGGUAACGGGGGAUCAGGGUCCGAUCCCGGAGAGUAAGCCUGAGAGACGGCUUACACAUCUAAGGAAGGCAGCAGGCGCGCAAAUUACCCAAUGGGGACACCCUGAGGUAGUGACAAGAAAUAACAAUACGCGACUCUUUCGAGGCCGCGUAAUUGGAAUGAGCACAGUCUAAAUCCUUUAGCGAGGAUCAAUUGGAGGGCAAGUCUGGUGCCAGCAGCCGCGGUAAUUCCAGCUCCAAUAGCGUAUAUUAAAGUUGCUGCAGUUAAAAAGCUCGUAGUUGACAAUCGGUGCUCGUCUCGGCGGUCCUGUUCACGCAGGCACUGCCUUGAUGGCCUCUACACACUGGCUUGAGGUCGGGCAGGCUGGGCAACUGGCGGUUCGACCAAAGCCCCGGGUGCCCUUUAUUGGGUGCCCGUGGGUGGCCUUUGCGUUUACUUUGAAGAAAUUAGAGUGUUCAAAGCGGGCUAUCUAUAGCUCGGAUACUCGUACAUGGAAUAAUGGAAUAGGACCCUGGGUCAUUUCCGUUGGUCUAUGGCCAUUGGGUAAUGAUUAAAAGGGACUGCCGGGGGCAUUGGUAUGGUGGGGGGAGAGGUGAAAUUCCGUGAUCCUCGCCAGACCAACUACAGCGAAAGCAUUUGCCAAGAAUGUCUUCAUUAAUCAAGAACGAAAGUCASAGGUUCGAAGACGAUCAGAUACCGUCGUAGUUCUGACCAUAAACGAUGCCAGCUUGGAAGUGGCGAUGGYUGUAUUUCAUGACCCCGCCACGGCCCGUCGGGAAACCAUAARCGUUUGGGUUCCKGGGGAAGUAUGGUUGCAAAGCUGAAACUKARAGGAAUUGASGGAAGGGCACCACCAGGAGUGGAGCCUGCGGCUUARUUKGACUCAACACGGGAAAACUCACCCGGCCCGGACACUGCAAGGAUUGACAGAUUGAGAGCUCUUUCUCGAUUCGGUGGAUGGUGGUGCAUGGCCGUUCUUAGUUGGUGGAGUGAUUUGUCUGGUUAAUUCCGAUAACGAACGAGACUCUAGCCUACUAACUAGUUCGCCGAUCUGCUUCUGUGGGUCGGUAAUAAACUUCUUAGAGGGACAAGUGGCGCUUAGCCACGCGAGAUGGAGCAAUAACAGGUCUGUGAUGCCCUUAGAUGUCCGGGGCCGCACGCGCGCUACACUGAAAGAAUCAACGU